rnacentral:rRNA from 1 species
UGCGUAGGCGGCAUUAUAAGUUAGAGGUGAAAUCCCGGUGCUCAACAUCGGAACUGCCUCUAAUACUGUAUAGCUAGAGAGUAGAUGCUGUGGGCGGAAUGUGUGGUGUAGCGGUGAAAUGCUUAGAUAUCACACAGAACACCGAUUGCGAAGGCAGCUCACAAAUCUAUAUCUGACGCUGAGGCACGAAAGCGUGGGGAGCAAACAGGAUUAGAUACCCUGGUAGUCCACGCCGUAAACUAUGAUAGCUCGUUGUCGGCGAUACACAGUCGGUGACUUAGCGAAAGCGUUAAGCUAUCCACCUGGGGAGUACGUUCGCAAGAAUGAA